rnacentral:rRNA from 1 species
CGAUCUGGCUCAGGACGAACGCUGGCGGCGUGCCUAAUACAUGCAAGUCGAGCGGAAAUUUAUUGGUGCUUGCACCUUAAAUUUAGCGGCGGACGGGUGAGUAACACGUGGGUAACCUACCUUAUAGUUUGGGAUAACUCCGGGAAACCGGGGCUAAUACCGAAUAAUACUUUUAAACACAUGUUUGGAAGUUGAAAGACGGUUUCGGCUGUCACUAUAAGAUGGACCCGCGGCGCAUUAGCUAGUUGGUGAGGUAACGGCUCACCAAGGCAACGAUGCGUAGCCGACCUGAGAGGGUGAUCGGCCACACUGGGACUGAGACACGGCCCAGACUCCUACGGGAGGCAGCAGUAGGGAAUCUUCCACAAUGGACGAAAGUCUGAUGGAGCAACGCCGCGUGAGUGAAGGAGGAUUUCGGUUCGUAAAACUCUGUUGCAAGGGAAGAACAAGUAGCGUAGUAACUGGCGCUACCUUGACGGUACCUUGUUAGAAAGCCACGGCUAACUACGUGCCAGCAGCGGC